UACGUAGGGUGCGAGCGUUGUCCGGAAUUAUUGGGCGUAAAGAGCUCGUAGGCGGCCUGUCGCGUCGGUUGUGAAAGCCCGGGGCUUAACCUGGGAAUGGCCAUGGAAACUGGCGAACUGGAGUGUGGCAGAGGGGGGUGGAAUUCCGCGUGUAGCAGUGAAAUGCGUAGAGAUGCGGAGGAACACCGAUGGCGAAGGCAGCCCCCUGGGCUAGCACUGACGCUCAGGCACGAAAGCGUGGGGAGCAAACAGG
rnacentral:rRNA from 1 species